rnacentral:rRNA from 1 species
GACGAACGCUGGCGGCGUGCUUAACACAUGCAAGUCGAACGAUGAACCCGGAGCUUGCUCCGGCGGAUUAGUGGCGAACGGGUGAGUAACACGUGAGUAACCUGCCCUUGACUCUGGGAUAACUGCGGGAAACUGUAGCCAAUACCGGAUACGACCCUCGGCGGCAUCGCCAGGGGGUGGAAAGAAUUUCGGUCAAGGAUGGACUCGCGGCCUAUCAGCUAGUUGGUGAGGUAACGGCUCACCAAGGCGACGACGGGUAGCCGGCCUGAGAGGGUGACCGGCCACACUGGGACUGAGACACGGCCCAGACUCCUACGGGAGGCAGCAGUGGGGAAUAUUGCACAAUGGGCGCAAGCCUGAUGCAGCAACGCCGCGUGAGGGAUGACGGCCUUCGGGUUGUAAACCUAUUUUAGUAGGGAAGAAGCGAAAGUGACGGUACCUGCAGAAAAAGCACCGGCUAACUACGUGCCAGCCGCCGCUGUAA